GGUGUGGCUCAGUGGUAGAGCACUGACCUAGCAUGUGAGAGGUACAAUUCUGGGUACAAUUCUCAGCACC
rnacentral:tRNA from 1 species